UGUAGUUUUGAUUAAACAUGACGAGGAUCUGUUUGCUCCAUAAAUACACAACUACGUUUGUCAACUCGUCUUACAUCCUUAGGUCAAACAUUACAAUGUUAUUAUGACUAGAGUAGAAAAAUUUGUAUCGUCGAAGAAUGGAUCAUUCUCUAACGAACAUAAGCUACGAUUUUGCGCGUAACAUGUAGCCAGUCGACCCACUUUACGAAUAGAUCAUUAUUCUUCGUCGACGAUCGUUGCUCGACCAUGAUCUCAUCGAUAUAACAAGUGUUCUUCGAAGUCUCUAUUCCUUCGAAGAAAAUUGUGAUGUUUUUGCAUUGAGAGAUAGUUCACGGUCGUUCAGGAAACUCGAAACGUACGAGAAUACAGAGUCUGGUGUUCAUUUUUCUUGAGAAUGUCGUGGGUCCUUACGUGGUUCGAAUACGUGCAUUUAGUGGACGAUCUAAUUAGGUUAAGUUGACUAAUGGUUCGAAUUUUUUAUCGUAACAUGAUUUACCUGUGGAGAACCUGAUGAAUUGAUUGUCAAAUGCAUGUUUUUUGUUUGACAAACGUUGAAUACAAAAGUACCUAAGAUUAUCAGGAACCAAGAUGAACUAUGGUUGUGCAUUUAUUAAUAUUUUACACGAUGAAGACUCAAUGUGUGUGAUAAACUUUUUACAAAGAUCUCUACUAUACUUGCUUGUAUAUAUUAAGAAUAUUUAGAGUGAAAGUUACUAUUAAUCAAUAUGCCGCACGUGACCAGAAAAUGGGAAUUAUUUCCUGGUCGAAAUCGUUUUUGUUGCGAUGGCAGGGUGAUGAUGGCACCACAAACGGGUGUCUUCUAUGUUACAGUGUGUUUGGUAGCUGGUACAAGCGGAUUGUUUUUUGCCUUUGAUUGUCCAUUUUUGGCUGUGCAUAUAACACCUGCAAUCCCGGUAAUAGGUGGAUUAUUAUUCGUAUUUGUAAUGUCUGCCUUGUUUCGAACCAGCUUUAGCGAUCCUGGUGUUAUUCCAAGAGCAACACCUGAUGAAGCUGCUUAUAUAGAAAAACAAAUUGAAGUACCAAAUAAUGGUAACUCUAAAACGUAUAGACCACCUCCAAGAACAAAAGAAGUAUUGGUACGAGGACAGCCUGUAAAGUUGAAAUAUUGCUUUACUUGUAAGAUAUUUAGACCACCAAGAGCCUCGCACUGUAGCUUAUGCGAUAAUUGUGUAGAAAGAUUUGAUCAUCAUUGUCCGUGGGUUGGCAAUUGUGUUGGUAGAAGAAAUUAUAGAUAUUUUUAUGCUUUUAUAGUGUCUUUAGCAUUCCUAUGUGUUUUUAUAUUUGCCUGUGCUGUUACACAUUUAAUAAUGCUUACAAGAGAUGACAGACCAUUUUUAGAAGCUGUCAAAUUAUCUCCUGGUAGUGUCAUUGUAGGAGUGAUAUGUUUUCUUUCUGCUUGGAGUAUUUUGGGUCUUGCUGGCUUUCACACAUAUUUAGCCACGAGUAAUCAAACAACUAAUGAAGAUAUCAAAGGUUCUUUCACAAGUAAAAUAGGCCAGGAGAGUUUUAAUCCUUAUAGUCGAGGAAAUAUUUGCGGAAAUUGUUUCUAUGUCUUAUGCGGUCCUUCACCUCCAAGUUUAAUUGAUCGUAGAGGAAUAGUUACACCCGAGUAUCGGGCAGAGCAGGAACGAGUUUCUGAUGAAAAUGUGAUAGCUAAUAAUAAGUCAUAUGGAACUGUAAAGAUCGUGCAACCACAGUCCAAUGGAACAGGCAUGCAGACAAAUGUUCCCACAGAACUUACGGAUUCUAUGAAUAAUCUUGUUACUGGUCGAUAUUCUCCAAGAUUAGAAUCUAUUAAUGGUGAGUUGUCUCUUUUACGACAUCCUUCUCGCUGUACUGAUGAUCUUCCCAAAUAUUCUCAUCAGUAUAUCAGUGAUAUUUAUGUUCCACCAUAUCCUAUGCAACAUUGUCCUCAAGAUUCUACGAAACAUAUGAAAUAUAAUGUAAAUGAUAGGAUAAAUCCAGAAUUUCAAAAAGGUAUACAUAAAUAUCCUCAUAGAUGUAGAGAAGAGUAUCAUAGGUGUUCAGAUAAUAAUCUCAUAUAUGAUCAGUGCAUACAAGAUCACAAAUAUGCAAUCGAUCUUCAAAAAUAUCCGCAAAGAUAUUCGGAGGAUACAUUACGAUAUAAAAUUGAUGAAAAGAAUGGUUACUCUGAUUUACAAAAAUUUCCUCAGUGUCGCUCCGAAGAUCCUUUACGAAUCCCUCAGGCUCAUCAUACUAUGAAAUACAAUAAUCUAAGAUGCACUGAUCAUAGUAUAAAAUAUCCAUUACCAAAAAAUAUAUUACCAGCACGCAUAUUAGGUGCUACUGGUAUACCGAUUCAAGCAAUAGGACUUAUAGAUAGCCGUUUUGGUUCAAAUCCAUUAAGUAAUAAUUUAUCAUAUGUUGACAAUUCGUUUUGUCCUAACGAUAGUACAGAAGAAGAUCUUUUAAAUCGACGAUUUAUCAUGAAUUCUAUGAGUGAUAAUGAUGACAUUUAACAUUCAUUAUAGAAAAUGCAUUUUCAUUAUGCAUUAGUAAAUAUUAAUAAAGCUGCAAAACAGCUUUACAACAUUCAGCCUCGCCUUUGUAACAUGUAAUAUGAUUGCAGCAUAGCUGGCAAUAAUAAUAAGGUAAUCAUAACAUUGGAUAUAAUGUAGUAUCCAAAUGGCACUGGUAGUAUUUUCUUAAAAACAAAAAGUUGUAGUGCAUUAAUACAAUGUGCAAUGUAUCAAAUUAUCAUCUUGUUGUUAGAAGCAAUUUAUGAUAUAUUAUUAAACAGAGCUGUGUAUAUAGUAAAUAAUACAUUUAUAAAUAAUUUUUUUGUAAAGUAUCAAAUAUUCUUUCAAACGUUUAUAUAUGCAUCUUAAUGAUGAACUUUCGUUUUUUUUCUUCUUAUUUUUUUAUUUAUUUAUUAUUAUUAUUUCUUUCUUUCUUCUUUAUCUUCUUUUUUCUUUUUUUUUUUUUUACAUUAUUUGAUUAAUUUUGAUAUUGUACUUUUGAGAAUAUAUAUAUAUAUAUAUAUAAAUAUCAUUUGUAUUGUUACUGAAUUUCUAUUUAUCAUUAGGAAGGAUUUUAUCCAAAAAGGUGCUUUUCUGCCAAUUAUAUUUUCUAGAUUUUUUCUGUAGGAUUUAACAAUAUUUUUACUGGUUACUAAUGCUUUUGUCAAAUUAUUCGAUAACAAUUCAAUGAAUCAUUUUUCUUUGUUCAAAUUACAUCCUGUUAUCGAGGGCUCAGAGAAUUCCAUUUGGUAAGUUUACUUUCUUACAUCUGAACUAAGUGUAUGUUCUAAUAAAUGAAUGGGUUGGCAUUAUUAAUGACUUUACUAAAUCACUGUGCCAUAUCUAUUAUUUUUUCUGUCACGCGAAACUAAUUUUAGAAUAUUGUCAUAAUUCAGAUAUUAGUAAUAUACACAUUGGCUUUUUUCUUAUAAAAAAAUUAACAAAAAAGAUUAAUGAAUUUCUAUUAUAGAUAAAUAUAGCUUUGUAAAUAUAAAUAGUAUCGGUGUUCAAUCUUAUUAUUAAUUUUUUUACAUAGAAAUAAAAUAUUUCCAAAGUUUUCGUUAUGCACGGAAUAUAGAUACCAUAUAUUAGUAAAUCAUACAAGUAUAAAAUCCAAGUUAUAUUAUUAUAUAUAUAUAUAAAAUUACUUGAAAUAUUUUUUACAUUUGGAAAAGAAAACAGUGGUGAUGGAGGAAUCUAACUAUAUAAAGGUAGUACUACGAAUAGUGUAAGUCAGCUAGUUACCAACGAAGUACCAUUAGCAUCGCUCAAUAUUGCUCCGAUUGAUAUUGACGAAAUUGCUCCACUUCCCCCGCGUCCAAAUGUUGCGGUUUCUUCUACAUUGGAUACCACUUCAAU